CCUACGUGCAGCGUCUCGGGAACACUUUACACGUUAUGAAAUAACGUUAUGCCAAGGACCAGAUAUAUAUUUACGAUUUACUAGAAACGUUUGAUAUGAAGCAGUAGGACAUUUCAGGAUUUUUGAUGACAGAAAGUCUCCAUACAGCAUGGUGUCUUUUAGGUGGAUUGACUUUAUCUGGCUGGACAGGGGGGGCAUGUUUUUGCCAUGGAACAGAGAGAAAAGGGCAGCAACAGGCACGUACAUCUUUUCAUCUUGCUCAGUUGUGCAACAUAUGGAAUGAGACAAGUUGCAGGACCAGUGGCUGUGAACAGCCAAAGACAAGACAGCCAUGGUAAACAGGGAUCUGGACUUCUUGAAGUCCACACACACAGUUUGACAGUUUGUGUCCAGUGUCAUGGUAGUAGCCUGCUUGAUGUGGUCAGUUUAGGAUGAUGUACAUUGGACCCAAAGUGGAGCAGUGGUCAUUACUUUUCUCAGAUGACCCAUUGCCAUGACAGUAACUGGACUGCUUGCAGUGGUACAACUGGUUUACAUUGUUUGAGAAUAGAUAAUGGGGUUCAAUUUUCUUCCAGUCUCCAUACAGCAUGAUGCCUUUACCUGGCUGGACAUGGGAGACAUCUUUUGUUAACAUGAAAUAGAUAGAAAAUGGCAGCUGCAGGAACAUCCUUUAUCAUCUAGUUGUGGAAGACACAGCAAGUUUCAGGAUGAAUGGUUGGUGAAGAGCUACAAACAGGACAGCCAUGGU
rnacentral:lncRNA from 1 species